AUACGGAGGGUGCAAGCGUUACUCGGAAUCACUGGGCGUAAAGCGCGCGCAGGCGGGCUGAUAAGUUGGAUGUGAAAGCCUACGGCUCAACCGUAGAACUGCAUCCAAAACUGUCAGUCUAGAGUGUGGGAGAGGAAGAUGGAAUUAGUUGUGUAGGGGUAAAAUCCGUAGAGAUAACUAGGAAUACCAAAAGCGAAGGCGAUCUUCUGGAACAGUACUGACGCUGAGGCGCAAAAGCGUGGGGAGCAAACAGGAUUAGAAACCCCAGUAGUCC
rnacentral:rRNA from 1 species